rnacentral:rRNA from 1 species
GACGAACGCUGGCGGCGUGCUUAACACAUGCAAGUCGAACGGAAAGGCCUGCUUUCCCUUGUGGAUUGCGGGUACUCGAGUGGCGAACGGGUGAGUAACACGUGAGUGAUCUGCCCCCAACUUGGGUAUAAGCCUGGGAAACUGGGUCUAAUUCCCGAUAGGACUGCAGGGUGGUGCCUGUGGUGGAAAACGAUUUUCUAGUGGUUGGGGAUGAGCUCGCGGCCUAUCAGCUUGUUGGUGGGGUAAUGGCCUACCAAGGCGGCGACGGGUAGCCGGCCUGAGAGGGUGGACGGCCACAUUGGGACUGAGAUACGGCCCAGACUCCUACGGGAGGCAGCAGUGGGGAAUAUUGCACAAUGGGCGGAAGCCCGAUGCAGCGACGCCGCGUGGGGGAUGACGGCCUUCGGGUUGUAAACUCCUUUCGACCGCGAGGAAGCCACCUGGUUGGAAGGGUGGUGACGGUAGUGGUAGAAGAAGCACCGGCUAACUACGUG